rnacentral:lncRNA from 1 species
GGUGUAACUAUUACUACCCCCUAUUUUACUGAUGAAGAAGUUAAGAUUAAGUCACCAUAGGGUCACAGGACUUGGAUUCAAACCUAGGAUUUAUUCCAAAGCCUGUGUCUUUAGCUACUAUAUCACCAGUACAUUUAAUCAUAGUGAAUAAAGACAAAUGUUAAAUGCAAGUGAUUACUUUUAUGCUGUUGAUAAGAUAAACAGACUAAAAAUAGGGUUUAGUGAAGAAUAAAGAAUAGGGCAAGAAUGUUCCAUCCUUAUGCAAACACUGGGACACAGGGACUGGUCAAAAAAUAGCAGUUUUAAGAAAAGUUUGGUGAAGCCAAAUGGAAUUCCAGUCAUGAGCAAUCAAUUCAAGAUUCUAUUAAGAAAGCAAAACAAUGAGAUUAUCUCAAUUACUGAGUUAACAAUGAGAUUUUGCCAUCCACAUUCAAGCCAUGAGUAAGACAUUUAUUUGAAUUAGAUAAGAAGAUAUAAUGUCAUUGAAUGAGGCCCAGUAAAUUUAAUAACAGAGAUAAAUGAAUCUGACAAUGAUCUCACACUUUAUAAAUCUAAACAUGGGACCAAGGUUAGACACAGGUCCUUGUGGUUGACAAAUGAGCUUGAAUGCUGCCUUUUACGCUAUUGGAGACCGAACAUAAUUCUUGUGUUUACAUCUUCUAAACAUGGAGAUUGAGAAAUAAUUAAUCCAAUUCUAUUUGAACCAAAAUGCAGAAGCAAGAAACAACCUUGGACCUUCCUUUCUCAAAUAGUAGCUAUGCUGGUAAUUUAAUCACUAACUGAGUUGCGUAACUUGCCUAUGACAAAUAGUAAAAUACCUACAAAGUGGAAAUCUGCCCAAGUCAUUCCUUCAUAGGAAUGGAGGUGAAGCCUUAGUUGGCUCAUGCAUGCUCUGUCUUCCUGCCCUCAAUUGCUGAAGUUACUUCUGUGUUAGGAUAGAACAUGGGGCUAAUUCUGCUCUUGAAGUGUGAAGUCACUGGAAGGUUUUAGGAAACUCUGCUGCCUCCACUCUCCUCCCCACCCCUCCUGGUACUGGCCAGCAUGUAGCAGCACACUUCCACGUAAGGUGCUCAAUCAGAUCGAAACCACAGUGUGUAAUGAAUAGCAGAUCCUGUAUCAAUCUGGCUCCUCUCCUUGUGUCUUUCUCCCUUGCUUGCUCCAGUGUUUAGUUUUAGAUAUGGGAAUUCUGAUUAAGGUCAGUCUGGCUGUUCUUUCCUGAUGACCUCAACUUUUCAUUCUUUAGUCUCAACUAAAAGGGCAUUUUUCUCUUGGAAGCUUUCCUAGGUCCCCUAAAUGACACAAGGUUCCCUUGUCCCAUGCUUUCACAGCUCCUGUGCUUCCUGACAUGAAACAUUUUCUUCAUCUCCUCUGCUAGCUCAGAGUGUCUGUGAGGACAGGUACAGAGUGCUGUCUUCACCACUAUAUUCCAAUACCUGGCACAGUACUGGUCCUUCAUGUUUGCAGAAUGAAUAGUUGCCUUUUUCAUUUUUUUUAAAAAAAGUUAUUGUAAAUUAUUUAAUGUAUACACAGAGCUGAAGAUGUAGCUCAGUGAUAGAGUGCUUGCCUAGCAUGUGCAAGGCCCUGGGUUUAAUCUCCAAUAUUGCAAAAAUAAACAAUAACCUUUAAACAUAUACACACAUGUGUAAAGAAAAAAAUUACAAACCCCCAUGUAUCGACUACAGGAUAAGAAAUAAAAACAAUACCAACACAAGUUUAGGCUCCUGCUUCUCACUCUGUUCGCAUUUUGUUCUCUGGAGGCAACUAGUUCAGUUGUCCCUUUUUACAGGCACUUUCAGCUACCUGUGGCCAGCCACAGUCCAAAAAUGUUAAUAUCUGUCUUAGCUCUUUCAAGAGGCAGAGAGACCAUAUUCACAUAUUUUAUUAUAGUAAGUUGCUAUAAUUGUUCUGUCUUAUUAGUUAUUGUUAAUCUCUUACUGUGCCCAAUUCAUAAUUUAUCAUCAAUGUACAUGGAUAGGAAAAAGCAGAGCAUUAUAAGUGCUUGGUACUAGUUCUGGUUUUGGGGAUCCACUGGAGAUAUUAGAAUGUACCUGCCAUGAAUAAGGAGAGAUAUUAUAGUUUGAACUUAGUGACUACUACUUCCAUACAUUUCUUAAUAUUUUUGUUAUCCUAUGUGCAAACUUAGAGUAGUUUUGCUUAUUUUUAUAAUUUACACACAACACUUAUAAAAAUAUUAUACAAAUUAUACCUUUUUAUAAUUGGCUUUUUUUUUCAACCUUCCUGUGAUUCAUUCAUGCUAUUGUGUUUAGCAAGAGACCAUUUUCACUGCUUUACAGUAUUUCAUUGUAUGGGUACUUUACUACUACUCAGUUUACUUAUCAAUGUGUUAUUUCAUAAAUUUUUGCUGUUACAAAAUACCAUAAAUGUCCUUAUACCCAAAAAGCAUUUCUUCUGGUAGAUCCUGUCGUGAUAUCCAUUAUACUGGCACUUCCCACUGAUUUGGGUGUCAAACCAAUGGACUCUAGGAGCCACUCAACUACUCAGCAGUCUUACAGUGGGAACACAAAGCCUCAGUUUUCAUUCUGUAAAAUUGGAAUAGUAGUCUCCCAUCUGUCUAUCUAAGAAGGUUGUUACAACCAUCAAAGGAAAUGAUGUUGCUGAAAAGAUUUUGAAACCUGAUGUAUUAAGCAACAUCUGAACAUCAACAACCAAAACGAAUUACCCAAGUGUAACAGUGCAAAAGAGUCAUAACAAAACAUCAGUAUAAGAAUUUAAUAUCUUUUGUUAUCACCUCCCCCACUAAACUUGUUAGUGCCUAUAACUUGGUGUGCUUUAUCUACAUUUAAUUGGAGGUAUUCUAGAAAUACCUUACUCCCAUCAGCUAGAUUAGGGGAAGAUCAGGUUCUUGAGAGAAAUGCGUUUGGACCUGUGGGUUUCUACCACUUAUAAAAUCCUGAGAUUGUUGAAAUGAGCUUAAUUGGUUUUGAAAACAUAUUUGCUGCACAGGUUUUGUCUUUAUGCUGGGAUGUAAAGGUGAGAGCAUUGUCAUAGCUAAAAUGAGGAUUUUAUGGAGUCGAAGACCUGGUCCACAUCUUGGCUCUACUUUCCUUACCUUUACCAGGCAUAAGCAGAAUCUCUAACAGGACUGUUGGGAAAUUUGAAUGAGCCAAUGUAAAUAAAGAGGCAUACUUGCCCCUUUGAGUAUGUGGCUAAAAACCAGGCUUAGUGGAGAUUUCCCAGCAGGAGAGGUAAGUUGGCUAGGCUUUUGUUCCUCUCACCUGAUCUCGUGCACCUCAGUUUAACUCUUCUUCACUUUUUCGAAGCAUUGGUGUAGCCAUUAUGUGGGGACCUGCAGCUGCCACAUAUCUAUGGACACUUUUGAAUAAAUGACCCUGGCAGCUAUGUUCAUUGAACAAAGUAUGCCAUCACUACUGAAAAGUUUUGUGCCAAAUUCUUUGGAUCUGCAAGUAUUGACUUCUGGUUUGGAAACUAAGAAAGAGAAGCCUGGAUAAUCCAUCUAAUCAGUUAGCAAGGAACCAAAGAGAGGGUGUUAAAGUAGCUAGUUAAUUCCAAUUUUAAUCAUGUGAUCUUGGUCUCAAGUAAGAGCUAACAACAGAUAAGAUUAAAACCUAGUGUCAGAGCUGUAGGUUCCAAAAUAGUUCUUCCUGCAGAAUGUUUGCUGUCCAUAUAUGCCUUAUCAGAAUCCUCCAGUUUUAUUCUUAUAGUCACAAUGAGCCAAAAGCUAGAUUUACCUUGUACAUUUGCACAUGGAUGUCUGGGUUCCUGGGAACUGGCUUGCUUUACACGUUUCUCUCCAUAAACGCAUUCUGUAGAAAGGUCCCUCUGCAUCUAGGAGGUGAAAAAAAGCAGGGAGGAGGGAGGACAGAACAAUGUCCUUUCUAUUCUCAUAAUCUUGGGAGGCUUCCUAGAGGGCAAAUGGCUGGAAAAGAUGGGUGGAGAUGAGUACAUGGAAUUUUGCUGUCAUGGAUUUCUUUCAUUGUUCUAUAUCCUCAACGUGUUCACUCAAAGAGGUUAUUAAGCUCCUGCUACCAGGCAUCAUAAUUUGUUGGCUUGGGAACCAGACUCCAGUUCUUCCAUCUUGGACAAAUUUCUUCAGUUCUCAUUAUCUCAAUGUCUUCAUCUAUAAAAUAGGGAUAAUAACAAUACAUGUUUCACAGGGUCAUUGUGGGGACUAAGUAAGUUAUCUAUCUCUAUCUCUGUCUAUCCAUAUCUAUAUCUAUAUAUUUUGAAACAGUGACUGGCCCAUUAUAUGUGUUCAAUAAACAUUAGUUAUUAUUAUUCCUAGCUAGAAAUUACUAAAAACUAGUAGUACAAAUAGGAAAACUCUGAUGAAUAGAGCUUUCUGGAUAAGUUUAUCCAUCUUCUGGGUUAAGAAGAGUCUUAAAAACAAAACAAAAACAUUGAAGCUAUAAUGUCAGCCACAACAUAUAGUUCAAACUUGCUAGUUGAUGCCUAGAACUGGUUUGGGGGGGCAAACACACCACACUACUUCUGAUGGUAAAGAAAAUAAAUGCUAUUAUGUACCUGCUAAAUAAGCCACCCUUUCCAAAUGGAAAACAUCACAGUCAUUUCAGUUUGCUACAGAGUUCAUCCAAUGUUGUUGGAGCAGCACAAAUGGAACAUAAUAUAAAAGUAUACACAUAAUGUACUGUUCUAAAUUCGAAGAGUGCAUUUCUCUUACAUGGCUAUUCCCCGAAAUUUUCAGAGAGAUGAUGCAUAGAAUGAGGUGGUUAUUAAGCUGAAAAUGAACCACAGUAAAACAGAGGAGGAAUUGCAAGGGCUGACAGAAUUGAAGGGAAACCAUUAAAUAUUAUAGGUAAUAGGAAAGGAGGGGGAUUAUAAGAAAUCUCGUUAGCCCUCUUGCUUUAUGGGAAGACUAAGUCUAUCAUAGUUAGGAGUUCACAGAUAAGAAUUUUUAGAGACACUUUAAAAAAAGAAAAAAGAUGUUCACAGAUGGAAAAGUUACAUUUGCUCAAUAGCCCAUUGUUCAGCGCUGCUCCUAAGAAAAUGACUUUUGUGUAACAUAAAUUCCUCACACUGCAGCCAAAUCCUGCCUCAAUGAUGGGGCUGCAACUACAGGGAAAACUACAUAACUGGGAUUCUUGGGGGAUGGGUCGCUUUUACCAUUGCUGUCUUUGUUGUUCUACUGAGCUUGGAGUAAGAAGAAAUUUUAUUUCCAACUUUCUGUCCAUAGACCUGUUUUUGAGGGGGACGGUGGGUGUAGUGGGAGGACUUGGAAAUGCCAUAGAAGGAAAAUAUUUGAGUCUUGGAAUGAUUCAGGACCAUUAAGAGCUUCAAGGCUCAUUAGGAGGGAAAUGAUUACGACUGGACAGGCCUGUAGAUGUACAGUUGAGAAGAUGUGGCUUCAUCUUUGUUCAUACUACGUGCAACUUGUGAAUAGUGCUUUUAAUGGGAUGAGGGUGGAAAGACAUUCAGUAUCAAAUGCCUUAGCUUAGGAGAAUGAAAACUGGAAAGAAAAAAAAUCCCUACCAAAAACCAGUGCCGUUCCAGAAAAUGUGAGAGUUGGGGCACUAGUUCUAGUUCUUAUAUAUAUUUUUAAUACCUUUAUUGUGUUACAUACUAUAAAAGUCACUCUUUUAAAGUGUACAAUUUGAUUAAGAUUUUCAGUGUAUUCACAGGACUGGGCAACCAUCAUGGUAAUCUAUCUUAAAACAUUUACAUUACCCCAUUAAGAAGCCCUGUCCUGGGUAGAGGCCACUCCCAUUGCUGGCCUCCCUCCCCACUCCAACCUGAGAUAACUACUAAUCUACUUUCUACAACUUUGGAUUCCCUACUCUGGACAGUUCAUGAAAGCAGAAUCAUACCAAAUAUGCUCUUCUGUGACUGGCCUUUGAGAGUAAAACAUUUGUAAGUUUCGCUAAUAGUUGAAGAGGUAUCAGGACUUCAUUUCUGUUAUCUAUGAGUAAUAUUCCUUCAGAUGAAUAUACCACAUCUUGCUCACCCACUUAUCUGUUGAUGACAUUUAGUCCCCCCCCCUAGUUUUGGGCUAUUAUAAAUAAUACUGCUAUGAACAUUCAUGUGUACGUUUUUGUGUGGAUGUGUUUUUAUUUGGUAAGUAGGCACUGAGGAGCGGAUCAGUGUGCCAUGUGGUACCUCUGCAUUCACUGUUGUGAGGAAUUGUCUAUUGCUCUCCAAGAUGGUGACCCAUCUUAUGUGUCAGAGCCUUCAAAUGUGCUGCUCCCCUCUAUCUGCAACACCUUUCCCUUUUCCUCUCCUCCAGUUCACUCUCACACACUUGGUCCAUCACUGCUAAGGAAAGAUAUCCUAAUUCCAGGUGGUUCAUUCAAUUAAACAUACACAGAGGGCCCUUGACUUCAACUGUGAAGGGUUGGUUUUCCAUCGAGGUAACAAAACACAUGAAUUGGGUGGUUAGUAGCUUAAUGUAACCUCCACUGUUGGUGUGAUGGUAUCUUCAGAGCAGGUACCAUGCCUAACUUUUCCUGCUCACUAUUGCAUAUUCUUGAGAGAGCAGCCUCCAGAGUCAAUAGAUAGGCCUUAUGAGAGUCCCUGCCAACUCUAUCUACUUUGAAUCUGUCCCCAUCUAUAAAGUGUCUCGCAGGGCUUCGUGAGCACAGCCUGGUGCUCGUCAUGUGGCAGUCAGCUGAUUAAAAGCUAUUGAGUGAACAAAUGCAUCAGUCCUGUGGGACGAUCUGCCACACCCCAUGGACUGCGUGGCCAAUGUACACUUCUCAUGGAGGUCAGGAGAGAAGGUUGAAUGAUGAGUGAGCACAAUGACUCCUACUGACAUUCCUGAAUCUCAGGCAUUCAUCCAGCAUGCUGGGUGGAGGUCAAGAUAAGGGAGGGAUGAUAUUUUGGGGGGCAUUGUCUAUGAAACCUCUGAAAACAAUAAGCCAAACUACCUUUUUGCAUUUCCACACCAAGCAGCUGUUUUGGUUGAUUUAAAGGAAGAGAUUCUUGUGCCCAGAUCUAUAGCUUAGUGUUGAACACAGUGUUUAAGAGAGGACCUGUUGAAGUACAGUUUCCUGGGUUCCAAUUCUAGCUUCUCUGGUUGUGACCAAAAUACCUGACACAAGCAACAUAAUGGAGGGAAGGCUUAUUUUGGCUCAUGGUUUCAGUCCAUAGUUGAUUGACUCCAAGGGAGAAGCAUCAUGGUGGAGGACAGCUGUUCAGGUCAUGACAGCUGGGAAGGAGAGAGAGAUGAGGAGAGAUUGAGAGUCAGAGAGAUUGAGAGGGAGAUUGAGUGAGAGAUUCAGAGAGAGAGGUUUAGAGAGGGUGGGAGGGGAAGAGAGAGGAAGGAAGGUGGGUGGGGGGUGGAGAAGAAGAGGCUGUGGGCCACAAUAUAGUCUUCCAGUGACCUACUUCCUCCAACCAUGUCUCACCUGCCUAGAGUUUCUGCCUCUUCCUAGCACUCCAUUCAAAUUAUUAAUCCACUAAUGAGGUCAAAGCUCUCAAGAUCCAAUCACUUCCCAAAGUCUCACCUCUGGACAUUGCUGCACUGGGGGCCAAACUUUCAACUUGUAAGUUUUGGAGGGACAUUCAAGAUCAAACCAUAAUAUUUUCCUACCAUUUAGGCAAGUUCCAUAACCAGUUAAGUCUCAGUUCAAUAGAAAUACUAAUCAUCCCUUUAUUGUAGGGUUGCUGAGAGGAUUCCGGGGGGCAAUGCACAUACAACACAGCUUCGUGCAUAGCACAUCCCACUGGCUCAAAGAUCCUGAGUGACUCAGCUGUUAGCCUUGGGGAGGCUUUGGUUUCUAGUUAUGAGAGAUCUAAAUCCCAAAGUAUUAGUUUCAUUAAACUCUUGACAGUCUUCCAAGGAUAAUGAGAAACAAAGGGCAUGUAAAACACCCACUUAGUGCUAUUUUAUUGUAAGCUACAGUUAAUCAGAUUUCUGAAUUUUCCAUUCACUCCCAAGAAGCCAUAAUUGAGAAAACAAGCACUGUGUGUGUGUGUGUGUGUGUGUGUGUGUAUGUGUGCACGCGCACGUGCAUGCAUGCAUGUGUGUUGUUUGGGGGUGGUUAAAAUUCAGCCAACUUCUUUUUGUCUGAGUUUAUAGAACACAAAACAAAUCAACCUCUUGAGUAUUUCUAUGGUUUCAAAUGAAAGUUAAAAAGUCAGUUUCCAUUCAUAAUAUUCCUGAUCCUCAGAGAAACUUCUUGUUUUAGGUCUUCCACAGUCAUUCUAUCUUCUAUGGCAUAAGAAGGCUGGGCUCUGGAGUUCUGCCCUUUUCUUUCCUUCUUCCCAUUGUUUGCUCACUCUUUCUUUCUCCCUUCACCUUCUUUCCUCUCUUCCUCUCUCCCUCCCUUCCCCUCUUUCUCUGUAAAGUGACAGCCUUAUAUAUCUGUGUCAAAUGGGAUAGUUAGGAUAUUUACUUUGUAGGGCCAAUGGGUAAAUGAAAUGAGACAUUGAUUUCUAAUGCAGAACAGGCAUGUGGUAAACACUCAGGAUGUGUUCAUUAUGAUUGUUACUACUGUUAGGAAAAGGGAAGAUUCUUUAUCUCACUCCUUUACUCUGAUUCUUCUGAUUUUGGCUUUGCAGAUUAAAAAUCUCAGGAACCAUUUGCCUGCAUUUCUUUCUUGAGCCUGGCUCACAGCUGUCAGUCAUGGGAGAGUGUCUGAGUUGCUAAUAAAUGAUUUGCAUAUGAGACUCCUUAGGAGCCAGGCGUCAGUUACUUAGGUGAGGAUGGAUUCUGGGCUGGGAUGUGCUCAUAGUUUUGGCUAGUAUCUGGUUAGGUCCUGGCUGCUAUUUUCCAGCUGUAACCAUCCCAAGGGUGAAUGGGGGUGGCCUUCACCAUGCUGCAGACGUGUAAAGCCAGACUUAGAAGCAAGAAGCUGUUUCUAUAGGGACAAAUCAGUACUCCCAGGGUCAAUCAUGAGUGCCUGCAGCCUUGUGUCCUCUAUUAAGUGGCAUCGUAUGGAUCUCUGAGGUUCAGUGUUGUAAAUCAAUAUGUAGAUUGUCAGUUGGCCUGCAUGCUGGGGUGGGGGUUUCCCUGUGGUCCACCUCUCUGGCCUUGAGAAAAGUAGGAAAGAUGUUUGUUACAGUUUGGAUAGGAAGUGUUCCCAGAAAAGCUCAGAGGUGAAAUGUUCAGAGGUGAAAUGAUGAUAUUAUGAGAGCUGUAACCUUAUCAGUAGAUUAAUCCAUUUGAUGGAUUAAUAAUUCGAAUGGACUACUGGGUGAUAACUACCAGCAGGUGGGGUGAUGCUGGGGAAAGUAGGGCACUGGAGGUGUGGCCUCAGACUAUAUCUUGACCCUGGCUCCUUGCUUUCUCUGCUUCCUAGCUGACCUGGGAUGAACAGUUUUCCUCUACCACACCCUCCCACCAUGAUAUUCUGCCUUACCUUAGGCUCAGAAUGAUGGCGCUGGUGGGCCAUGGAUUGAAUCUCUGAAACCAUGAACUUAAAAUAAACUUUUCCUCUUCUAAAUUGUUUUUGUCGGGUCUUUGGUCACAGCAACAUAAAAUUGACUAACACAACAAUGAUGUUCUCCUUUUCCGAUUCUUCCCCUGCGUCCUACCAGAGAGAGCAGUAGCUUCACUGCAGAGGGCAUGUGGUUUGCCUUGUUAAAUGCAGAUGCUCAGUAGAGACUCAGACUCAAUAAGUCGAGGGCAGAGAUUAGCAAAUGUAUGUUUAGAAGCACCUCAAGUCUAGACUUUAAUUCUAAUAAUUUCCUUAUUUGUGGCCUGUUUUCCUCCUCUCUACCAGCAUGAAGGUGGGGGCCUUGCCAUAUCUGUUCACCACUUCAGACUUGUGGCCUUGCCUUUAAAGGCAGGGAAAUGCAGCAUCUUUCAAACUUCAUUAUGCACUUUAAUCACACAGGGUCUUGUUAAAAUGCAGUUUCUCAUUCACUGUGUCUAGAGCAGGGUCCAAGAAUCUGUGUUUCUAACUGUCUUCCAAGGAAUGCUCUGGAGGUUGCCUCUUGGUGUAACAAAGGUAGAGUCUUUGAGGAUGCCACUUUGAAUCAUGCCACCUUUGCUAGUGGGGAGCCCCGGCCAUGCAUCUUCCCCUAUAAAUGGGGUCCUACACAAAGGUCCUUCUGAGGCACCCAUAAGAUAAGUAUUUAGCCUAGAAUAUGAUGAGUACUCAGUAAAUGUUCAUUCUUUUAAUUAUUAUGACUAAUGUUAGAAGUUAAUUCUCAGAUACCAUUUAAGCAAUGCUAGCAUGGUCAAUGUACAGUUUUUCAUCAGACUGCCUGGGCUUCUCUCCUGUGUCUACCACUUACUUAUUUUAUGGAUGUGGGCAAAUUUCUCAACUUCUUCGUGCCACCGUUUCAUCAUCCAUAAAAUGGGAAUAUGACUGCUACCUCCCUCCUAUUGUCAUUGAGAAGAUUGAACAAUAAAUCCAAAGUUCUUAUUCCAAUAUCUGGAGUCUUGGGGCUCUGUUUAUGUUAUAACCAUUAUUGAUCAACUAUUGUGUGAGAUUGUAUCUAAUGGGACCUCUGGUCUUCCUAAUCCAAACUACCAGUCAGUUCUACUAAGUAGCCUUGACAGGUCAUAGGGCCUCAGUGUGGCCACCACCCUUUAGUUAUUCCAUUAGGAUAAUAACAGCUUCCUUUUUUAGCAUUGUACCUUUGAGGAGUUAUUUAAUAUAUCUGUGUACCACACUUUGCUGAUUCAUAAGCAGGAGAAAAUAAUAGCUGCUUCAUAGCACUCUUAUAGGCAUAUAAAGCAUAAGUAAUUAGAACAGAGUUUGAAAUGUGGUAAGUGCUUUGUAGACAUUAGCUGUAAUAGCAAUUAUUGUUAUAUUGUCAUUUCACUAUAAUAUAUACAUAAAAUAGAUGUUAGCAAUGAUUAUCAUCAUAGCAUGGUACAGUAUAAUUAUGUAUUAUAUAAAGUAUGGAUUAUAAUCAUUCAUAUCAUGUACCAAUUGUCAUGAUUUGUAUUUUAUAUGUUCUCCCAAAACUCAUGUGUUGAAGGCUUGGUGUCCAGCUGAUGCUGCUAAUGGGGGGAGGGUGUGGAAACUUCAGGAGUGGGACUGAACUGGAGGGAGUUAAGUCAUUGGGGGCUACUGGGACCCUGUCCCCAUUCUCUUUGGUCUUUAUCACUUCUUGGCCACCAGGAUGUGAGCGGCUUUGUUUCACUAUAUUCUCCUAACAUGAUGUUCAGUCUCAUUAUGGAGCCAAGUGGCCAUGGACUGAAACCUUUUCUCUUGUUGUGUUUCUUGGAUAUUCUGUCACAGUGCCAGAGAGCUAACACAUCAAUAUUAAAAUCAUACUAUAAUAAUCUGUGUUUUGUCUGAAAAUGCCUUUAUUUUACCUUCAUUUAAAAUUUUUAAAAAAUUAUGUAAAAAACACAUGAAAUUUACCAUCUUAACCAUCUUUUAAGUAUACAGGUCAAUAGUCUUUAGUAUAUUCAUAUUGUUCUGUCACUAUUACCACCAUCCAUCUCCAGAAUUAUUUGUGAAACUGAAACGCUGAAUCCAUUAAACAAUAACUCCCCAUUAUUUUAUACCUCCAUCCCCUAGCAACCAUCAUUUUGCUUUCUGCCUAUCUGAAUUUAUCUACUCUAGCUAUCUUAUAUUAGUGGAAUCAUGCAAUAUUUGUCUUGGGACUGGCUUAUUUCACUUAGUAUAAUGUCUUGAGGGUUCAAUCUGUAUUGCCUAGCAUAUGUUGGAAUUUCCUUGAUUUUUGAAGGCUGAACAUUAUUUCAUUUUAUGUGUAUUCAUCUAUCAGUAGACACUUGAAUCACUCCUACCUUUGGUCACUGUGGAUAAUGCUGCAGUGAACA